CGUGGGCGCUGGAGAAUUGAGGGGGGCUGCUCCUAGUACGAGAGGACCGGAGUGGACGCAUCACUGGUGUUCGGGUUGUCAUGCCAAUGGCACUGCCCGGUAGCUAAAUGCGGAAGAGAUAAGUGCUGAAAGCAUCUAAGCACGAAACUUGCCCCGAGAUGAGUUCUCCCUGAGACUAUAAGUCUCCUGAAGGAACGUUGAAGACGACGACGUUGAUAGGCCGGGUGUGUAAGCGCAGCGAUGCGUUGAGCUAACCGGUACUAAUGAACCGUGAGGCUUAACCUUACAACGCCGAAGCUGUU
rnacentral:rRNA from 1 species